AAAUACAAAGUUCCUCUGUCCACUCGGGCAAAGUCUCCUUUGUAUUUGCAUGGCGUACCAACGGAUACAACAGGAUCACAACCACAACGUACAUUUACCAAUCAACAACCAAUUCAUGAUAUGCAUUUUCAUCCAGCUAACAAUCCUUAGAAAUGAUGUAUGCCUCUAAGCACUCCUUAGGCGCUGGAUGAUGCGAUGCACAGUACAACAAUCAUCCUAUUUAAAAGUGCUCCCCACACGGAAGAUUUUGUUUUUAAACUCUAAUUCAUUCAUCAUGAAAAUCAUUCGAAAACCUUUUUAAAACUGUUUCCCACAAGGAAACUCUGUUUUGAAAACCAGCUACCUCGAGGGGUAGAAAACCACGAUAUGUAAAUACAAGAAAAUUCGAUAUCCAUAAAAUCAACAUCCAAAUUCACAAACCUCAGUUCACAUGCAUAAAUAACGAAAACAUCCACAGAU
rnacentral:lncRNA from 1 species